rnacentral:misc_RNA from 1 species
GUACACAAUGCAUGUCAUCCUGUUUUCUCACCAUCUCCCAAAUCAAAAACUCAUCUUCACCUCUCUUUCCUCACCCGUCAGUAUCACCUUUUUCACUCUCUAUUCUCCACUGCAGACUCACUCGCCACUUCCACUCUCUCUAAAAUCUGCCAUGACCAACACAUCCUCUUCAUAAAUACCCCCAGAAAACAAAACCAACAAAAUUAUCUCUAAAUCCCCAAACUAUGGUGCCGUAUGACUCCGAUGGCUUAGCUGGAAGCGCUCCCAGUUCAUCAUCCUCUAUCACUAAACCUCCGCAGAUAGAUGGCUUGCUCGCCGGUGCCGGCUACAAGGUUCCGUCUUCUGAGCUCCGGCAUGUGGCCCAGCGUCUCGAACGCCUUGAAACGGCCAUGCUUAACUCCGCUUCCCACCAACUUUCCCUCCUUGCCUCUGACGCCGUCCUUUACAACCCCUCUGAUCUGUCUACAUGGGUCGAUUCGCUCCUUUCCGAGCUUAACCAAUCUCAGCCUCUCCCUUCUCUCCCCUCCGAUCUCUCGGAUCUGGUUCCCAAUUCAACGGCUCUCGAUAGCUCCUGGGGGAUGGAACACUCUUUGUCUCAGCAGCAGAAUCAGAAUAUCUCUCAACACCAACAGAAUCAGCUGAUGGUCGUAACCGCCCUGGAGGAGGAUUCCGCGAUAAGGCUCGUCCAUAUGUUGAUGACGUGUGCAGAGUCCGUCCAGCGUGGCGAGCUAGCAUUGGCUGCCUCUUUAAUCGAGAAUAUGCAGGGACUGUUGACGCGUGUCAACACCGGCUGCGGCAUUGGCAAAGUGGCCGGUUACUUCAUUAAUGCUCUGAGUCGCCGGAUUUUCGCUCCGGCGGGUUCAAUUAGCGGCGUUGGUUCUUGCUACACUUAUGAGAAUGAAAUUUUGUACCAUCAUUAUUACGAGGCUUGUCCGUACUUGAAGUUCGCUCAUUUCACCGCGAAUCAAGCGAUUCUCGAGGCUUUUGAAGGCCACGAUUGCGUUCACGUAGUGGAUUUUAACUUGAUGCACGGAUUGCAAUGGCCGGCACUAAUACAGGCUUUGGCUCUGCGCCCCGGUGGGCCCCCUUUGCUUAGGUUAACUGGCAUUGGCCCUCCUUCAUCGGAUGGCCGCGACUCGCUUCGGGAAAUCGGGUUGCGACUCGCUGAUUUAGCUCGGUCAGUAAACGUUCGAUUCGCUUUCCGUGGGGUGGCAGCUGCGCGGCUGGAGGACGUGAAGCCGUGGAUGUUGCAGGUGAAUCCUAAAGAAGCGGUGGCAGUCAAUUCAAUCAUGCAACUACACAAGUUGUUGGCGUCUGACCCAACCCGAAACCCAGCAAUCGAUAUUGUCCUGAAUUGGAUCCGGAACCUGAACCUGAAAAUUAUGACCGCAGUUGAGCAAGAGGCAGAUCACAACCAAUCGGGGUUUUUAGACCGUUUUACCGAAGCUUUAUAUUACUACUCAACGAUGUUUGAUUCGCUGGAGGCUUGCGCCCAUCACCCAGAGAAAGUUUUAGCCGAGAUGUACAUACAGAGAGAGAUAUGCAACGUGGUGAGCUGUGAGGGUUCAGCUCGGGUAGAGCGGCACGAGCCGCUGGCUAAGUGGAGAACUCGGCUUACAGGGGCGGGGUUCAGGCCGCUGCAUUUGGGGUCAAACGCGUUCAAGCAAGCGAGUAUGCUAUUGACAUUGUUCUCAUCGGAAGGGUACAGUGUGGAGGAGAAUGAAGGUUGCCUUACUCUGGGGUGGCACAGCCGCCCUCUGAUUGCUGCUUCGGCUUGGCAGGCAGUGCCCGAUGGUGAGCCAGCCCUCGGUGUAAUCGAUAAUAAUGGUGUUGUGCUGUAAAUUUUAUAAUAGUAUUUUGAGGUAUUUUUGGGGUUAACAAUUUUCAAUUCCUCUUGUACUGAUUCCAUGAAAUCUUUUUUUUUUUU